rnacentral:sRNA from 2 species
GUAGAUGCUCAUUCCAUCUCUUAUGUUCGCCUUAGUGCCUCAUAAACUCAGGAAUGAUGCAGAGCCGUUUUACGGUGCUUAUCGUCCACUGACAGAUGUCGCAUUUUAUAUGCUAAAUCAUUCAUGAUGUGUCGAGACGGCCAGCACGGGAAUCCCCAGGAGCUUACAA